UCUCCUUAAUCGGAGAGUUCCCUUCGGGGACAUUGGUGACAGGUGGUGCAUGGUUGUCGUCAGCUCGUGUCGUGCGAUGUUGGGUUAAGUCCCGCAACGAGCGCAACCCUUGUCUUUAGUUGCCAUCCUUAAGUUGGGCACUCUAGAGAGACUGCCAGGGAUAACCUGGAGGAAGGUGGGGAUGACGUCAAAUCAUCAUGCC
rnacentral:rRNA from 1 species